ACUGGCAUCCAUCGACUAGAAAAACAACACUAACUGCCCAGAAGAAGAGUUAUUGCAAUACCCCAUUCGCCAUGGCACGUCCAAGGAACAACACACACAAUUUGUUCUUGGUCAUAGCUCUUCUCGCCAUGUCUACCGCCUUCCUACCCUGUAAUGCAGAAGACCCACGCAGCUGGUGCCAGCCGGAGGGUGUUUGUCAGAACCCGGUUAUGCCGGAAAACACGCAAACGUGCAAAAACAUCUGCAAAACUUUUGGCUACAACCCGGAACAAGCCUACUGCGAUCCCGAUCCCACUCCGAGGUGCUGCUGCUUGUAUUAAGCACAAGAAAUAAUACUGCCAUUGGAGUGGCAGAUGAUGGAUGACAAAGCUAGCAAAAUCAUUUUUAUGCGCCCAUCUCGUCUCAUGUAAAAAUCGGAACAGAUCAUGGUCCUGUCCAUCAAUAAAGACGUGUUUGUAGAAUUAAUAA